CUUUAGACCAACAAAGACUGUUCGCUGUUUCCCCAACAACAAACCCUGGAUGACAAGUGACAUAAAAGCAAUCCUUAACCAGAAAAAGACAGCUUAUGAGGGUGUGAAUCCUUAUAUAUAUGCAACAUUUGAGUGUCUUAUUUUUAAUAAAUUUGCAAAAUGUUCUAAAAAAAGUUUUUCGCUUUGUCAUUAUGAGGUAUUUUGUGUAGAAUUUUUGAGUGAAAAAAGCAAUUUAAUCCAUUUUAGAAUAAGGCUGUAACAUAAAAAAAUGUGGAAAAAGUGAAGUGGUAUGUGUGGUGAGACGCCUCCUCCUUCUGUUUUAUUUUGGCUGGACUUCCUGUGUUUCCGUGUUUGUCUGGUUGGCUUGACUUUCUUCCAGAGCUCCCUCCCCUCCCCCGGUCACUGAGGCUGAGUGAGACUACACACCUGCUCUACAUCUGCAAUCAAGGCACUUCAAGAAGCCAGCAGUCCUCAGUCUCAGCGCCUGAGUGUUGUCUUCACUUCCAUGUGGUAUAAAUGCGUCUCCUGGCCUCCUUUCUUUGAAUUUGAAUUCGUAACUCUGAUCCUGAUUCAUUGUAUGCUCACUCACUUCCCUCUCCUCUGGUUCUUCCUGCAGUGUCUCCAGCCCACACGACAGCCAGCCAACCAGGCUACCGGACUUCCUCUUUUUGCCUAUAAAACCUGAGUUUGGACAUUAAAAUUACACCUUAAGUUGAUCUCUGUCUCUAUGUCUGCUUCUGGGUCCUUACAACUCACCAGUCUCGCCACAGUAUGAAUACUUUUCGGAUGCACUGUAUACGCGGACAAGGAGAGAAAACUGAUUCG